rnacentral:sRNA from 1 species
UAGUAUAAUAGUUGUAAGCAAGGAAUGCAAUUAGUUUUACUCCCUUUUUGCUAAUUGUAAAAUUCCUUAAAAUCCUAAACUCCCUUUUUGUGGCCGGCGUAAUUGCCGGUC